AUGUUGUGUAAUGUGCUGCGUGUUAAAGUUGUCUACUUGAAGAGGAAAGCCAACCGUACUCAGUUUAAGACGAGCAUUACCUUGGCUAUUUAUCACUGUGGAGGCAGCGUGAAGAAGGCAAUGAAACCACAGCUGAAGGAGCAGACUGAGCCACGAUCUCGUGUUCAGACCUACCAAGCGCAGCGUUGCCUCUUGAGAGAUGCAGUGUUCCUGUCUCCCGCAGGCAGUCCGUUGUGGCCCAGCCUGGAAAAUAUCCCGGAAUGGGAGCUCCAAAGCCAGCUGCGGGGCCAUGGGAAGCAGGGGGAUUUCUCACAGAAAUAG
rnacentral:lncRNA from 1 species